rnacentral:misc_RNA from 1 species
GAAAUGCGAUAAGUAAUGUGAAUUGCAGAAUUCAGUGAAUCAUCGAAUCUUUGAACGCACAUUGCGCCCGCCAGUAUUCUGGCGGGCAUACCUGUUCGAGCGUCAUUUCAACCAUCAAGCCCCGGGCUUGUGUUGGGGACCUGCGGCUGCCGCAGGCCCUGAAAACCAGUGGCGGGCUCGCUGUCACACCGAGCGUAGUAGAUUCUCAUCUCGCUCAGGGCGUGCUGCGGGUUCCGGCCGUAAAACAGCCUUAUUUUACCCAAGGUUGACCUCGGAUCAGGUAGGAAGACCCGCUGAACUUAAGC